rnacentral:rRNA from 1 species
UACGGGGGGGGCAAGCGUUGUUCGGAUUCAUUGGGCGUAAAGGGUGCGUAGGCGGCGCGGUAAGUCGGGUGUGAAAUCUCGGAGCUUAACUCCGAAACUGCAUUCGAUACUGCGUGGCUAGAGUGCUGGAGAGGAGACUGGAAUUUACGGUGUAGCAGUGAAAUGCGUAGAUAUCGUAAGGAAGACCAGUGGCGAAGGCGAGUCUCUGGACAGCAACUGACGCUGAGGCACGAAGGCCAGGGGAGCAAACGGG